AUGCAUUACUGGGAAACUAUGACUCUGC
rnacentral:piRNA from 1 species